rnacentral:lncRNA from 10 species
GACGGAAGGCGGAAGCAGAGCGUGAGCGGGAGGCGGAGCCGGGAGAGCGGCUCUCGUAGCUCACCCUGGCCCCAGGCCGGGCGGCUCGAGGGGGAGGAGUUACCGCCGUUCUUCGGUACGUCCGUCUUUUUUUUUUUUUUCGUUUUUUUUUGUUUUUUUGAGAUGGAGUCUCGCUCUGUCACCCAGACUGGAGUACAGUGGCACGAUCUCGGUUCACUGCAACCUCCACCUCCCGGGUUCAAGCGAUUCUUCUGCCUCAGCCUCCCGAGUAGCUGGGACUACAGGUGCGCGCCACCACGCCUGGCGAAUUUCUGUAUUUUUAGUAGAGACGGAGUUUCACCAUGUUGGCCAGGCUGGUCUCGAACUCCUGACCUCGUGAUCCGCCGGCCUCGGCCUCCCAAAGUGCUGGGAUUACAGGCGUGAGCCACGGUGCCCGGCCACCUUCGUCCCUUCUACACAGCCGGCAUCAGAACACACCAUGAUGGCUGUGACCUAAGACCCUCAGGAAGCCCCGGGGUCAUGGCCCAGAAGCACCCCGGAGAAAGAGGGUUGUAUGGAGCCCACCACAGUGGUGGUGCCUCCCUCAGGACUUUAGGACCCUCCGUGGACCCUGAAAUACCUUCAUUCUCAGGACUCAGGGACUCAGCAGGGACUGCUCCUAAUGGUACCCGCUGCCUCACAGAGCACUCUGGUCCUAAGCACACACAGCACCCAAACCCAGCCCAUUGGUUGGACCCAAGCCAUGGCCCCCCAGGG